GCUUACGGCCAUACCACCCUGAAUGCACCUGAUCUCGUGUGAUCUCGGCAGCUAAGCGG
rnacentral:rRNA from 1 species